UAAGACUGCAUAUCACCCUGCAGCCCAAGACUGGUUGCCCACUGAAGCUAAGCAGGGUUGAGACUGGUCAGUACCUGGAUGGGAGGCCUCCUGGGAAAACUAGGUUGCUGUUGGAA
rnacentral:rRNA from 1 species